UAGGAUGUAUACUUGAAGGAGUGAAUCUACUGGUUCAGCUGAAAAUUGAUCUCUAUUUGGUUUUUGUUUUUGUGUUUGGUUUUGCCGGCCGCUCGUCCUUCGUAUGCUCAUCCAUCUUGGCUGCUCUGCUUGCCUGCUUCUCCACUCUAACUCAGAAUGCGUCCGCUUAUUUCAGUCGUUAUACAUGUUUUGGAGGUCGUGGUGGCGGCGUAGUGCGGUGUGCUUUAUGACGCUUUCGUAUCUGUGCGAGGUUGCAGAGGACGUGUCUGUACUUGCUGGGGUAGAAUUCAAAUUGUGAGGGAUGGUUGUGCUUAGAUUUGGUCGCUGCUGGUCGGUUCUUGAGUUCAGCGCAUGAAAACGUGCAACUGCUAUCAAGCGAACCACAGGAGGGAGCAGCAGGCAUAGAAGAAAUCCCAAGCCAAUUUUGCUCAGCUGUAGCAUCUUCCACUGACAAUAAGUCUGCACAGCAGCCUAGCUGAUGUUCUUGCUCAGUAUAAGCCAACAAUGGAGAAACUGACCAAGCUAUCUUUCAUGAUCAGUUACACACCAAGCCUAUAUUUUUGCUGCUUCUACAUGUUGCUAUGAUGGUCAUUCAGCCCAUUUUCUUGAACCUGCACUACAACGAGAAAUUUGGGCUGCUUCUUUGUGGCUUCCAAACUUGAAAUGUUUGUUUGGAAGUUAGUUUAGAUUUUUGUUGUGGAUUCACAGCUUCUCACAUGUACCAUCCUCUUAGACCUUUAGA